AGGCAUAGUUCAGUGGUAGAACAUUACCUUGCCAAGGUAAAUAUACGGGUUCGAUUCCCGUUGCCUG
rnacentral:tRNA from 2 species